AUAACUUUUAUUUUUAACAUUCAAAUAGUGAAAAAUAUGGCUAAAAUUUUCGAGUUUACUUUUUACAUGACUCUCGUUACUUUUCUCUUUCUUAUUUCAACAAAUGUUCACGCAUUUAUUGAAUGUGAGAAGCAUGAACAAUGUCCAAUAGAUAUGUGUAAAUUAUAUUGGCUUGUGAGGUGUUAUAAGUAUAAAUGUAAUUGUGUUAAUGUGUGGGGUUAUGGGGAGCCAAUAUGGGAUAGUAAACAAAAUAAAUGUAAAAAAGAAUGAGUUCUUGCAUUAGCAAAAUAUCUAAGAGAAAAGAAGUAUCUCAUUUACUAAAUAAAAGGACCAUGUAGUUUUGGUUUUGUACUGUAAAGAUGAUGGUAAUGAAAUUUAAUAAGGCAACACAAAAUUAUAAUUUAGAUUUUCUUUACAAGAAUACGAGUGCAAAAGUAUACUUUAUUGUUGUAAUAAUUGUGUAGGUGUUAAUAAAAGGUUUAUUUUGGUGUGUCAA